rnacentral:rRNA from 1 species
AGUGAACGCUGGCGGUAGGCCUAACACAUGCAAGUCGAACGGCAGCACAGUAAGAGCUUGCUCUUACGGGUGGCGAGUGGCGGACGGGUGAGGAAUACAUCGGAAUCUACUUUUUCGUGGGGGAUAACGUAGGGAAACUUACGCUAAUACCGCAUACGACCUACGGGUGAAAGCAGGGGAUCUUCGGACCUUGCGCGAUUGAAUGAGCCGAUGUCGGAUUAGCUAGUUGGCGGGGUAAAGGCCCACCAAGGCGACGAUCCGUAGCUGGUCUGAGAGGAUGAUCAGCCACACUGGAACUGAGACACGGUCCAGACUCCUACAGGAGGCGGCAGUGGGGAAUAUUGGACAAUGGGCGCAAGCCUGAUCCAGCCAUACCGCGUGGGUGAAGAAGGCCUUCGGGUUGUAAAGCCCUUUUGUUGGGAAAGAAAAGCAGCAGGUUAAUACCCCGCUGUUCUGACGGUACCCAAAGAAUAAGCACCGGCUAACUUCGUG